GUGCGGACGGCGGCGUGAUGCUUCCUUAUCGGCCGGGACCCACCGUCACGCGGGACCGCGACGCCGUCAGCUCCUGUUGGCGCAGCAGCCCAGGCUGCGUCUCGACCGCAGCGCACUCUGGCCCCGGAGCGGGGCAACGGGAGGCAGAGGCACCUGCGAGCCGGGACCGAGAACCCAGAGGGAAGCAUCACCCGCCUGAGCUUGAGUCCGGAUCCUGCCGCUUACGACCUGUGGGGACCCCGAGCAGGUAACUGGCCUCUGGGGCCCCGUCUCCGCAUCUGUAACGGUCCUGCCUGCCCCACGGAGCUGUUUUAAGGUGUAGGCGAGCGAGUCGAACCGAGUGUGACAGUGGCGCCCGGCGCACAGCAAGAGCUCGGUCAGUGGCAGUCACGGCGACGACGGGGUGAUGAAGGCCAACGGCCGAGGUCGCGGCGGUGGGUACGGAGCCUUUCCCCGACUCCCGGCUGCCCUGCCCAAGGUCUCCAAGGAGGGGAAGAGAGCGGUGGAGGAGGCUCCUGCAAGCGACAGACACCCGCUCUGCCCAGGCUGUCGGCGAGGGCGCAGCCGCGUGCCAGGCGAUGCGGGGCAGUGUGACUCUCCAGGCGCCCGGGCAGGAAGGAAGCCGCGUCUCGGCCCCAUCUGGGCUGCAGCACUGGCCGGAGCCCCUGCAUAUGUGUGGCUCUCACCAUGGCUUCAGCCUCUCCAAGCUCAGUUUUUCGUUACACAUGGAGCUAAGGACACCGGUUCUGUCCUUACAAAGUUCACAGAAGGUAGGAGAAGUUCGGAGCACUAGGGUGUGUGGAGGCCGCUCGGGGAACGUUACUUCCCUGCCUUGCUUGGCUCUCCGGGCUUCCUCCUUCCCCCACCUCCAUCUCUCCUCCCUUCCCCUGCAGUGAGCAGGUGACAGCCGGCAGGGCCUCUGGUCCAGCAUCACUAAACCGGACCAUUUUCCACCAAAGGGACCAGGUCCCCAAAGAAAGCCCUAAGAGCAAAGGUGGCGGUGUGGAGUGGGUGACUGGAGCCAUGUCCCCUGACCCCCCCCCCCCCCACAUAAAUCUCUGGGAAAGCCAUUAGCAGGCCCUGCAGCCCAGAGACAAAUUACGAGGCAGAGGAUCAAUGUUAUUUUUUCCACAAGCUGAAUUCAUAACGGUUUAUGGCAAAAUCGAUGCAAAUCUUCAUGAAUAAAGUGAAGGCAGGUGCAUGUUGGAGAAUAAUGAAGGGGCUCGAGGGGGGAACCUCAGCCAAUCAGCACUGGGGGUGGGGGGGGUCCCAGGAGGAAGUCACUGGCCUGGCUGCCCUGGGGUUCGGUCCUGUGUGGUGCCAGGGGGCCCCUCCCAGACUGGCCGCAGGCAGCCUGCACACCCCAGGAGGAGGGGACCCGAGGGUGGGCGGGCAGUUCAGAAGAGAUGGUACUUUCUGAGAACUUUGAGCUUCGUGCUUUGUGUUCUUACUCGAUUCUCACAACCAGGCUCAGAGACUGAUGCCAUCAUAACCCUCACAGUUCUGAAAACUGAGGCUCAGGGGAGGUGAGGCAACCUGGUGUCACCUGAUUAAUAACUGGCAGUGCUUUACUUUUCAAAUGAGAAUGGCCUGUCUGUCCUUUGCUUUCCUGUCUCUGGCCUCUGCAUAGGCUAUGGCCUCGGUCUCGAGGGCCCAGCUCCUCUUACCUCCACCUGAGAAGGAGACACUCAUCAGCACUCACCACCUGGUUACAGGGCUGCUGGGAAGGCUGGUGGUGUCUGCCUGUCUUCAGCUGGCAUCAUCAUGCCCUCCUGGUGGCAUUUGUCCAGUGUGGACCCUCUUUCUAGGGAGGACUUGUCUCUCUCCUUAGGAGGCUGUGAGCUACUCUAGGAUUGGACCAUAUCCCAUCUGACCAUCUCUCAAUCCAUGCACCUGCAUGCUGGCACUGACCUUCAUCCUUCUAUCCACCCAACUGUGCUCAGCCAUCCGUUUGUCCACCCAUCCAUCCAUCCACCCGUUGUCCAUCCACCCAUCCGGCCAUCCUCCAACCUUAGGUUUCUCUUUCCAUCUUUUAGUAUUUAAUGGGUGCACACUUUCAGUUUUGCAAGGUGAAAAGAGCUCUGGAGACGGACAGCAAUGAUGGUAGCACAACAGUGUGACUGUAUUUCAUGCCACCAAACUACUCAUAAAAAUGGUUACAGUGACACAUUUCAUGUCAUGUAUAUUUUGCCACAAUUAAAAAUAAGUUAAUUAACUUAGAAAACUAUCUGAAGAGGCUGUCGUCAUAUCCUUUCUGCAGUACACCACGCCCUCCCCACCUGCUCCAAACCAAAGUCUUGGUGGAGCUCUACCUGGAGUCCUGCCUCCCCCCAACCUCACCAGCAGGUGACUCCAGCCUUCUCCAGCUCUCCCGCCUCCGGAUUCGCCAGGUGCUCACACUCACUAUUCACAGGAUCUUUAUGACAACGCCAGCCACCCCACAGUGAGAGUGUCCUUUGGUUCAGUGUUCUCUAACUGCUUUGUGCGGACAAAGCCCCCGCCCCCCCCCCCCCGCCCCCACGUGAGCUACGUACUGCCAUUUAUCUCAUUCUAAAGCUGAGGAAGCUGAGGCCCGGGCAAGUUCAGUGACUUGCCUGAGCUCCCUCAGCUAGUAGGGUAAAGGGGCAGGACUCUGGCCCAGCACUGAUGACACGUGUCCUUAAAGCUACUAGGUGCUGCUCCCUACAAAUCUACUUAUUUACCCCCCACCCCCACCACCAGGCUUUGGGCUCAAGGUGGGGGCUGGGUAUUCAUGCUCAUAUUACCUGCCCCUGACCCAGCAUGGAUGCCAAGGUGGGGCUUUGUAACUCAGCGCCAGGGCCUGAGUAAGGGGCGGUCCCCUCCAGGGCAAAAUUGCAGGGGGUAUCAAAAAUCUCAAUGUAAGGGAAAAAAAAAAAUGUCAGUGUAAGGGAAAUUCUAUUUUAAUGCAAUCUUUUAAGAUACCAAAUUUAAUGCAAAAAAAAAAAAACCUAUGAUGAGCAAAAUAUCAAAA